GACGCCCGGGCCCCCGGACCGCCCGCUGGACGAGCCGGGAGGACGGGACCGGCAGGGGGAGGUGUGACCGCCGCCCCGGCCGCCCCCUCUUGCGCCCCGGCGGCCGUCGGAGGUCGAAGCCUGCUUCGUCGGUCAGUGCAGUCAGGGGUCAAUGGGAAAAUAAUUCAGAGCAAAACCCGGAGCGGGAGUUUUGCCCCCGGGUCAGCGGGAAGCCGGUCCUGUUAUUUUAAGUAGCGACUUGCAGGGAUGCUGUGAAUAAUGGUGUCAGAAAACUUUUCCUAAGUCCACGUUACUGAAGCCAGUGUGAUUUGGACCUUUGAGGGAGUGAUUUCAAAAAGUUAGAUGUUUGUUUCCGUGAUUUAAUGUUCAAAAUAAGGGCGUGAUUUUAUGAGAGCAAUUUGCGUUGGAGUUUUAGCCACAUAUCUUCAAUAACAGAGGAUGAAAAUCUUCCGCUUCCAGCUUCCCUGAUUUGCAUAUGAAUCAAGAUUAAUAAACAUUUAAAAAGUGUAGGAGAAGCUAUAAAAUUGGCUUACGGCCUGGUGAUGCACAGGACUGAGCCAAAAGUCAUCUUGUCCCCAAUAAACUAAUCAUACUGCAGCUGAAGAGAAACUUAAGAUGGGGAGCUCUGGCAGAAAAAGUGUUCUGGCCCGUGUGCAAUGACGCCGUUCUCUCUGCCAAGGGAUCAAGUUAAAAUCUGCUUUCCUGGAAACCAGCUAAUGUCUUUAGGAAGCAUGACCCUAGUUAGGGAGAGAUUGGGACCGUUGGAUAAAGAAGGGAUAGGAAAAUAUUUUUCAGCUUUCGCUGAUAUAGUAACUUACAAGGAUAAAAUAUGAACACCGCCCUAGCCCGUUUAGCUCAGUGGAUAGAGCGUUAGCGUGCGGAAUAAAGGGUUCGGUUCCAGCCAAGGGCACAUGCGCAGGUUGUGGGCUCGAUCCCCAGUAGGGGGUGUGCAGGAGGCAGCCAAUCAAUGAUUCUCUAUCAUCAUUGAUGUUUCUGUCUCCCCUCCUCUUUGAAAUCAAUAAAGAAAUAUAUUUUUAAAAUAAAUAAAUAAAAUAUGAGCACCAACAAAUAAUUUAAAAAUGGAAUCUCCUGUUUCUGAGAUCUAAACUCAGGAUCACAGACUUGAUAAGGUCUUCCUUGAAUCUUAGGUAAUUCUAAAGUGUUUUCAACAACAUGUCAAGGAGACAACAAACAUAUAUCUCACAUUCCACAGGAUAUAUAGGGAAAGGGACAUAAGCAUAACACAAUUGAUUUCCUAUUGCCCCUCGGGAAUUUGGGGGUUGUGAGAAGUUCUGUAAAAUCCAGGAAGCCCAGGACAUUAUUAUAGUCCAUUAUUAACAUGGCUAAGGGAAAAAGAAUGAAAUUUGGGGUGGGGUUAGGAACCUGAGUUAUGUGCCUAGAUAGGCCCUGACUCACUCUGCGAUGAUGGCCAGACACUUCCUGGCUCAGUGUUCCAGGCCCCCUUUCCCCCAGCCCCUUCGCCUGCCCAAGUGAAAUAAAAUAAUAAUUUUAUUCUUUCUUAAGAAAGUUAAACCUGAUUGUUUCUAUAAAGCACUCUGGAAAAUAGCCAGCCUCUGAGUGUAGCAAUGUGAGAUGAUUUUAUUCAUUUUAUAACCAAUGUCCUGGGUGAUACCUAAACCAUGAGGGCUAUAAACUUCUUUAUUUUUGUUGGAAUCCUCAGUUGGGGAGGAAAUACAUAGGUGUUCCACUUCCUCUUCUCUUCUGUCUGUUCUGUCUUCUGGGAAUGACACUGUUGUGUUGCUAAAAGGUCCGCGGGGAGAUAUUUGGGAGAUAACUGGGUAACACCCAACUAGGUCAGGGAAUGAGUCAGGGCUCAAGGACUCGAUACCAACCUCUCCCACUCCUGCCAGGAAACCUCCUGGGGUGAGACAGAGAUGAGAAGGGAGCCAAGGGGCGGGCCUCACGGCUGCCUGCCCUGGGGCCUCUGGCUGGCUGUUUCACCCUGGUUUGCCCUGCAGCUGGACUGUGUCUGCUGACGUGCAAGCCGUGACACACUCUCUCUCCCUCUCUCCUGAACCUCUGCUCAGUCUCAGAAACAGAUGGCCCAUCCCACCCCACAAGUGACUCUAAGAGAGAUGAGAAGGAAGGGGAAGAACCGAACCAGGUGGAGAUCUAUCCCGUCAGAAAACAGGGCAAAAUACAAGAGACAUUUGUCUAGGAGGUGAAGAGGAAGUAGAAACUGCAUUCUCCUCUGACGAAUCAGGAUAAGAACAGAAGAGCAUCGUUGCAGGGCUGACACAGAUGAUAGAACAGGAUUGAGAGCUAAGGCUGAGAAGGACCAAGUAAUAUUAGCCUGAAAUCCUGUAAGACUCAAGAGCAAAAUGGCAAAAAAAAUAAAUAGUCACAAUUCUUGUUUGGAGGUCCUCAGCUCUUGCAAAUCCAUCUCUCUUUCAUCACCAUCAACCCCAGUUGGUGGCAAUUCUUAGACCUCUCCUCCAGGACAAAAAACAAAACCAUUUUAGGCACCUAAUGUCUACCAGUCACACGUUUCCAUAAAUGAUUUCACGUAGUAGUGCUCACAACA